rnacentral:rRNA from 1 species
UAUUGCACAAUGGGCGAAAGCCUGAUGCAGCAACGCCGCGUGAGGGAUGACGGCCCUCGGGUUGUAAACCUCUUUUAGUAGGGAAGAAGCGAAAGUGACGGUACCUGCAGAAAAAGCACCGGCUAACUACGUGCCAGCAGCCGCGGUAAUACGUAGGGUGCAAGCGUUGUCCGGAAUUAUUGGGCGUAAAGAGCUAGUAGGCGGUUUGUCGCGUCUGCUGUGAAAUCCCGAGGCUCAACCUCGGGCUUGCAGUGGGUACGGGCAGACUAGAGUGCGGUAGGGGAGAUUGGGAUUCCUGGUGUAGCGGUGGAAUGCGCAGAUAUCAGGAGGAACACCGAUGGCGAAGGCGACUCUCUGGUCUGUAACUGACGCUGAGGCGCGAAAGCGUGGGGAGCGAACAG